rnacentral:rRNA from 1 species
UACAGAGGGGGCAAGCGUUAUUCGGAAUUAUUGGGCGUAAAGGGCGCGUAGGCGGCCUGGCAAGUGGAAGGUGAAAUCCCUCGGCUUAACCGAGGAACUGCCCUCCAAACUGCUUGGCUUGAGUCCGGGAGAGGUGAGUGGAAUUCCCAGUGUAGCGGUGAAAUGCGUAGAUAUUGGGAGGAACACCAGUGGCGAAGGCGGCUCACUGGACCGGAACUGACGCUGAGGAGCGAAAGCGUGGGGAGCGAUCCGG